UACGUAGGGACCGAGCGUUGUCCGGAAUCAUUGGGCGUAAAGAGCGUGUAGGCGGCUUGUUAAGUCUUGCGUGAAAUCUCGGGGCUCAACCCCGAGCGGUCGUGAGAAACUGGCAGGCUAGAGUGCGGGAGAGGAGAGUGGAAUUCCUGGUGUAGCGGUGAAAUGCGCAGAUAUCGGGAAGAACACCCGUGGCGAAGGCGGCUCUCUGGGACGGUACUGACGCUGAGACGCGAAAGCGUGGGGAGCGAACAGG
rnacentral:rRNA from 1 species